rnacentral:rRNA from 1 species
CAUACCUCCUUUUCAAUGACGAUCUUGUCUGAUCUUGAAAGCUAAGCAUGGUUGGACCUGGUGAGUAAUGGGAUUGGAGAUCACUGGGAAUCCCAGGAU